rnacentral:ribozyme from 1 species
AAUCCACCUUGAAGAUAUCAGUUGAAACAGAAUGACAUAUGUUGUCUAUGGAGGAAAAAAAAAUGAAAUAAGCUCUAAAAAUGACUGAGAAAGAUAUAUUGUUGCGACCUUAAAGACCAUUCCUCAAACAUCAUCUCAUGUUUUCUUUUUUUUUUUUUUUUUUUU